rnacentral:miRNA from 1 species
UGUAUUUCUAAUCUACAAGCAAUAUGCCUGUCAUGAGCCAGACUCCUAUGCUCUGCUGUGGCUGAUUGGCUUCCAAGGGUGCAUCCACAGUUUCCAUGAAACUUAACUGGAUCACCCAGCUUCCAA